AGAUUGAACGCUGGCGGCAUGCCUUACACAUGCAAGUCGAACGGCAGCACGGGGGGUAACCCCCUGGUGGCGAGUGGCGAACGGGUGAGUAAUAUAUCGGAACAUGCCCUGUAGCGGGGGGAUAACGCGUCGAAAGAUGUGCUAAUACCGCAUACGCUCUACGGAGGAAAGCGGGGGUCGCAAGACCUCGCACUAUAGGAGUGGCCGAUAUCGGAUUAGCUAGUUGGCGGGGUAAAAGCCCACCAAGGCGACGAUCCAUAGCUGGUCUGAGAGGAUGAUCAGCCACACUGGAACUGAGACACGGUCCAGACUCCUACGGGAGCAGCAGGUGGGUAAUUUUGGAACGAAGUGGGACGCAAGCCUAGACUCCAGCCAUCGCCGCGUGAGGUAGAAGAAGGCCGUUCGGUUAGUAAGUCGUUCGUUUCGGACGAGGAACGUAAAGUACGGUU
rnacentral:rRNA from 1 species